UACGUAGGGUGCGAGCGUUGUCCGGAAUUAUUGGGCGUAAAGAGCUCGUAGGCGGUCAGUCGCGUCUGCUGUGAAAACUCGGGGGCUUAACCCCGGGCCUUGCAGUGGGGUACGGGCUGACUAGAGUGCGGUAGGGGAGACUGGAAUUCCUGGUGUAGCGGUGAAAUGCGCAGAUAUCAGGAAGAACACCAAUGGCGGAAGCAGCUUUCUGGGACGGUACUGACGCUGAGGAGCGAAAGCGUGGGGAGCAAACAGG
rnacentral:rRNA from 1 species